rnacentral:scRNA from 1 species
AUCGCCGCCAUGUUCGGCAACUCGGCCGAGGA